rnacentral:rRNA from 1 species
UACGGGGGGGGGCAAGCGUUGUUCGGAAUUACUGGGCGUAAAGGGCUCGUAGGCGGCCAACUAAGUCAUACGUGAAAUCCCUCGGCUUAACCGGGGAACUGCGUCUGAUACUGGAUGGCUUGAGUUCGGGAGAGGGAUGCGGAAUUCCAGGUGUAGCGGUGAAAUGCGUAGAUAUCGGGAGGAACACCGGUGGCGAAGGCGGUUCUCUGGGCCUUACCUGACGCUGAGGAGCGAAAC